GGGGGCGAUCGGAUUUGACUGGGUUUCCGUCGAUCAGGGUGGCGUGUCGAGGUUGAUCAGUUGGCCUCGUAAAAAGCUGAUCACCAAUAACUGCAAAACCGCAGUUCUCUCUCGCAGCCUAAAUAAGGUUGCGCCGGCCUAAGGAUCCUUGCCUGAGGAGCCGACCGCUGGUUACAAAUUCGGGCUGGCAUCAAUUCACUGUCUGCUACGGUUGAUGCAAGAUUUGUUGCGGGCUAGUGGUGAAAGGUCUUGUUCAUUGAACCUCGUCAUCGCGAAAUUAAUCAACGAACUACACACGUAGAGGCUUUGGUUUAGGGGCAACAGGACGCGGGUUCGAUUCCCGCCGCCUCCAUUG
rnacentral:tmRNA from 1 species